AACGAACGCUGGCGGCGCGCCUAAUACAUGCAAGUCGAGCGAGAAGACGUAGCAAUACGUUUGUAAAGCGGCGAACGGGUGAGGAAUACAUGGGUAACCUACCCUCGAGUGGGGAAUAACUAGCCGAAAGGUUAGCUAAUACCGCGUACGCUCCUUGGACUUCGGUUCAGGGAGGAAAGCGAUACCGUGGGUAUCGCGCUCUUGGAUGGGCUCAUGUCCUAUCAGCUUGUUGGNGAGGUAACGGCUCACCAAGGCUUCGACGGGUAGCUGGUCUGAGAGGACGAUCAGCCACACUGGCACUGCGACACGGGCCAGACUCCUACGGGAGGCAGCAGUAAGGAAUAUUGCGCAAUGGGCGAAAGCCUGACGCAGCGACGCCGC
rnacentral:rRNA from 1 species